rnacentral:rRNA from 1 species
UACGUAGGGUGCGAGCGUUGUCCGGAAUUACUGGGCGUAAAGAGCUCGUAGGUGGUUUGUCGCGUUGUCCGUGAAAACUCACAACUCAAUUGUGGCGUGCGGGCGAUACGGGCAGACUGGAGUACUGCAGGGGAGACUGGAAUUCCUGGUGUAGCGGUGGAAUGCGCAGAUAUCAGGAAGAACACCCGUGGCGAAGGCGGCUC